UAAACGACUCUCGGCAACGGAUAUCUCGGCUCACGCAUCGAUGAAGAACGUAGCAAAAUGCGAUACUUGGUGUGAAUUGCAGAAUCCCGUGAACCAUCGAGUUUUUGAACGCAAGUUGCGCCCGAAGCCUUCUGGCCAAGGGCACGUCUGCCUGGGCGUCACGC
rnacentral:rRNA from 1 species